rnacentral:rRNA from 1 species
CCUACGGGAGGCAGCAGUGAGGAAUAGUGGUCAAUGGGCGCGAGCCUGAACCAGCCAAGUAGCGUGAAGGAUGACUGCCCUACGGGUUGUAAACUUCUUUUAAGGGGGAAGAGCAGAAGACGGUACCCCUUGAAUAAGCCACGGCUAACUACGGGCCAGCAGCCGCGGUAAUACGUAGGUGGCAAGCGUUGUCCGGAUUUACUGGGUGGAAAGGGCGUGCAGCCGGGAAGACAAGUCAGAUGUGAAAUCCCGCGGCUCAACCGCGGAACUGCCUUUGAAACUGUUUUUCUUGAGUAUCGGAGAGGUAAUCGGAAUUCCUAGUGUAGCGGUUAAAUGCGUCGAUAUUAGGCAGAACACCAGUGGCGAAGGCGGCUUACUGGACGACAACUGACGGUGAGGCGCGAAAGCGUGCGGAGCAAACAGGAUUAGAUACCCUGGUAGUC